UACAGAGGGGGCAAGCGUUGUCCGGACUAACUGGGCGUAAAGCGCACGCAGGCGGUUGUAGGCGUCGAUGCUGAAAGUGCACUGCUUAACAGUGCGAGGCGUGUCGAUACGCUACAACUGGAGCCAUAUAGAGGUUCGUGGAAUUGCCGGUGUAGUAGUGAAAUGCGUAGAUAUCGGCAGGAACACCGAAGGGGAAGCCAGCGAACUGGAUAUGUGCUGACGCUCAUGUGCGACAGCGUGGGGAGCGAACUGG
rnacentral:rRNA from 1 species